rnacentral:rRNA from 1 species
UACGGAGGAUGCGAGCGUUAUCCGGAUUUAUUGGGUUUAAAGGGUGCGUAGGCGGAUUUUUAAGUCAGCGGUAAAAUGUCCGGGCUCAACCCGGGCCGGCCGUUGAAACUGGGGAUCUUGAGUGGGCGAGAAGUAUGCGGAAUGCGUGGUGUAGCGGUGAAAUGCAUAGAUAUCACGCAGAACUCCGAUUGCGAAGGCAGCAUACCGGCGCCCGACUGACGCUGAGGCACGAAAGCGUGGGGAUCGAACAGG